GACGAACCACACAAACGUUAUUCGGAAUUACUGGGCUUAAAGGGUGCGUAGGCGGCGCGGAAAGUUGGGUGUGAAAUCCCUCGGCUCAACCGAGGAACUGCGCUCAAUACUACCGUGCUCGAGGGAGACAGAGGUGAGCGGAACUUAGGGUGGAGCGGUGAAAUGCGUUGAUAUCCUAAGGAACACCCGUGGCGAAAGCGGCUCACUGGACCAUAACUGACGCUGAUGCACGAAAGCGUGGGUAGCAAACAGG
rnacentral:rRNA from 1 species